rnacentral:rRNA from 1 species
UACGGAGGAUGCGAGCGUUAUCCGGAUUUAUUGGGUUUAAAGGGUGCGUAGGCGGCCGAGUAAGUCAGCGGAGAAAUUUUGCAGCUUAACUGUAACAGUGCCGUUGAUACUGCAUGGCUAGGAUUUGGUUGCUGUGGGUGGAAUGUGUGGUGUAGCGGUGAAAUGCUUAGAUAUCACACAGAAUAUCGAUUGCGAAGGCAGCUCACAAAGCCAAGAUUGACGCUGAGGCACGAAAGUGUGGGGAUCAAA